GUACGAGCGGCGGACGGGUGAGUAACACGUGGACAAUCUGCCCCCGGCCCCGGGAGUAGCCCAGGGAAACCGUGGAUUAAUACCGGAUGAGACGGGACCCGGCGAUGGCGGGAGUCCGGGAAAGGCGCUGCGGCGCCGCCGGGGGAGUGAGUCUGCGUCCCAUUAGCUAGACGGCGGGGUAACGGCCCACCGUGGCGACGAUGGGUAGCCGGCCUGAGAGGGUGGACGGCCACAUUGGAACUGAGACACGGUCCAGACUCCUACGGGAGGCAGCAGCUAAGAAUCUUCCGCAAUGGGCGAAAGCCUCGACGGAGCCGACGCCGCGUGAACGAAGAAGGCCGUGAGGUUGUAAAGUUCUUUUCGGGAGGGGGAACAACCGUGGCAGGGAAUGGCCGCGGGAUGACGUGAAUCCCGGAAUAAGCCCCGGCUAACUACGUGCCAGCCGCCGC
rnacentral:rRNA from 1 species